CGAGUCAAACGCCAUUCUACCAUUGCCCAGUGACAGUCCCAUGAAGUGCUGCGGCGCAGCGGCAGAUGCUUGUGACAGAAGUGUGCCGGCUCAGUCAUCUCAGCACGGCCUCCGUCUCAAGCGCUACCCACCCCACGCCUCGCAGCCGCUCAUACCACGGCCGUCGUCACCUGCCGCAUCCCCCUCCCGGUGGCCCAGGCCCACUCACCAGUAGUCGGUGAGGGCCGGGGGUGGGGAUACGCUCGAGCCGCGUCGACACACCCUGCCCAUCGCAUGGAUGGCACGAGUGCGUCCACUGUCGCAGGUCGACCCGACGCAGCCCCAUUCACUGCCUGGCCGCUGGCAUCAGUAGCGGCGAGUCGACCUGGCUUUCCUGCGUCCUAGGCACCUGGCCCUGCCACCACCAGAGGUGGCUCGGCACUUGGCAGAGGGGUAGAGGGGGUGCGCUGGACCCUGAGAUACCACGCACUGAAAAGGGUGUCCACUCCCGUUUUAUGGGUAGAAAGACACAGUGCAAAGAAAACGAACAAAGUCUUGCUGUUCUUAUCGAGAGGCAACGUGCCGUCGCCUCCACUGAGACCUCGUUCCCUUGAAACAAAGAAAUGAACGAGUGCGAUCGAUGCAGCACAGUGGGUUUCAAGUAGACGGAGCCAAAUAAAGAGGGAGGAAUGCGAAAUGGAUGGCGUAUCUCUCGUGCUUUUUAAAAACGUUACUUCUUUUCCGCGCGGCAAAACAGAGAGGAUGGUCACCGCUGGUCACACCUAGAGAGCGAUAUAGGAAGUGCCGAAAGCUGGUUCUUUUUUUAGUUCAUGUGGGCGGUAAGAAAGGAGGCGUGAACGGGAGAAACAAACGGAAAACAUGUUUCAUAUAUAUAUUUGUUUAUGCGUGUUGUGUUGUGCGUGCUCGGGGUGCUCAAGGCCACACAGAG
rnacentral:misc_RNA from 1 species